rnacentral:rRNA from 1 species
CAGGCCUAACACAUGCAAGUCGAACGGUAACAGGGAUUGCUUGCAAUCCGCUGACGAGUGGCGCACGGGUGCGUAACGCGUAUAGAACCUACCCUUUACAGGGGGAUAGCCCGGAGAAAUUCGGAUUAAUACCCCAUAGUACUACGGAGAGGCAUCUUUUUGUGGUUAAAGUAUUACGGUAAAGGAUGGCUAUGCGUCCUAUUAGUUCGUAGGUGAGGUAACGGCUCACCUAGACUUCGAUAGGUAGGGGCCCUGAGAGGGGGAUCCCCCACACUGGUACUGAGACACGGACCAGACUCCUACGGGAGGCAGCAGUGAGGAAUAUUGGACAAUGGUCGGGAGACUGAUCCAGCCAUGCCGCGUGCAGGAAGACUGCCCUAUGGGUUGUAAACUGCUUUUUUACGGGAAGAAUAAUACCCACGUGUGGGUAGAUGACGGUACCGUAGGAAUAAGGACCGGCUAACUCCGUGCCAGCAGCCGCGGUAAUACGGAGGGUCCGAGCGUUAUCCGGAAUUAUUGGGUUUAAAGGGUCCGCAGGCGGGCCAGUAAGUCAGGGGUGAAAGUUUGCGGCUUAACCGUAAAAUUGCCUUUGAUACUGCUGGUCUUGAGUUGCGGUGAAGUGGCCGGAAUAUGUGGUGUAGCGGUGAAAUGCAUAGAUAUCACAUAGAACACCGAUUGCGAAGGCAGGUCACUAACCGCCGACUGACGCUGAUGGACGAAAGCGUGGGGAGCGAACGGGAUUAGAUACCCCGGUAGUCCACGCCGUAAACGAUGGACACUAGCUGUCGGGCCUUUUUGGUUCGGCGGCCCAGCGAAAGUGAUAAGUGUCCCACCUGGGGAGUACGUCGGCAACGAUGAAACUCAAAGGAAUUGACGGGGGCCCGCACAAGCGGUGGAGCAUGUGGUUUAAUUCGAUGAUACGCGAGGAACCUUACCAGGGCUUAAAUGUAGUGUGACAGGGGUAGAGAUACCUUUUUCUUCGGACACAUUACAAGGUGCUGCAUGGGUUGUCGUCAGCUCGUGCCGUGAGGUGUCAGGUUAAGUCCUAUAACGA